rnacentral:tRNA from 1 species
ACCUGGGUGGCUUAGUCGGUUAAGCGUCUGACUUCGGCUCAGGUCAUGAUCUCGCGGUUUGUGAGUUCGAGCCCCGCAUCAGGCU